rnacentral:tRNA from 1 species
GGGCUGGUAGCUCAGAUGGUUAGAGCGCACCCCUGAUAAGGGUGAGGUCGUAGGUUCGAUUCCUACUCGGCCCACCA